AGUACGGCCGCAAGGCUGAAACUCAAAGGAAUUGACGGGGGCCCGCACAAGCGGUGGAGCAUGUGGUUUAAUUCGAAGCAACGCGAAGAACCUUACCAGGUCUUUCACAUCCUCUGACAACCCUAGAGAUAGGGCUUCUCCUUCGGGAGCAGAGUGACAGAUGGUGCAUGGUUGUCGUCAGCUCGUGUCGUGAGAUGUUGGGUUAAGUCCCGCAACGAGCGCAACCCUUGAUCUUAGUUGCCAUCAUUUAGUUGGGCACUCUAAGGUGACUGCCGGUGACAAACCGGAGGAAGGUGGGGAUGACGUCAAAUCAUCAUGCCCCUUAUGACCUGGGCUACACACGUGCUACAAUGGACGGUACAAAGAGCUGCAAGACCGCGAGGUGGAGCUAAUCUCAUAAAACCGUUCUCAGUUCGGAUUGUAGGCUGCAACUCGCCUACAUGAAGCGGAAUCGCUAGUAAUCGCGGAUCAGCAUGCCGCGGUGAAUACGUU
rnacentral:rRNA from 1 species